UACGGGGGGGGCAAGCGUUGUUCGGAAUUACUGGGCGUAAAGGGCUCGUAGGCGGCCAACUAAGUCAGACGUGAAAUCCCUCGGCUUAACCGGGGAACUGCGUCUGAUACUGGAUGGCUGGAGGUUGGGAGAGGGAUGCGGAAUUCCAGGUGUAGCGGUGAAAUGCGUAGAUAUCUGGAGGAACACCGGUGGCGAAGGCGGCAUCCUGGACCAAUUCUGACGCUGAGGAGCGAAAGCCAGGGGAGCAAACGGG
rnacentral:rRNA from 1 species